UACGUAGGGGGCAAGCGUUAUCCGGAUUUACUGGGUGUAAAGGGAGCGUAGGUGGCGUGCCAAGUCAGGAGUGAAAACCCAGGGCCCAACCCUGGGACUGCUCUUGAAACUGGCAGGCUUGAGUGCUGGAGAGGUAAGCGGAAUUCCUAGUGUAGCGGUGAAAUGCUUAGAUAUCACGAAGAACUCCGAUUGCGAAGGCAGCUCACUGGACUGCAACUGACACUGAGGCUCGAAAGUGUGGGUAUCAAACAGG
rnacentral:rRNA from 1 species